rnacentral:misc_RNA from 1 species
GAUGAAGAACGUAGUGAAAUGCGAUAAGUAAUGUGAAUUGCAGAAUUCAGUGAACCAUCGAAUCUUUGAACGCACAUUGCGCCCGGCAGUAAUCUGCCGGGCAUGCCUGUCCGAGCGUCAUUUCUCCCCUCGAGCGCAGCUUUCCCCCCCGGGGGAGGGCCGCGCCCGGUGUUGGGGCUCUACGGAGGAGCCCAGCGCUCCCCCGUAGGCCCCGAAAUGUAGUGGCGGUCCCGCCGCGGCGCCCCCUGCGUAGUAGUUUUACAACUCGCAUCGGGUCCCGGCGGAGGCCAGCCGUCAAACCCCCCAACUUCAAUAGUUUGACCUCGGAUCAGGUAGGGUUACCCGCUGAACUUAAGCAUAUCAAUAAGCGGAGGA